GCAUGAACCACUGGGCCUAAAGUGAAGGAUUCUUUCAACACCGAGACGUGGACUGUCGAGGAUCUUCUGCGAAGAGGAGGACAUUGUUGACAAAGUGCCCCUGCAGAGGCUCCAGCUGUUAGGUCAGUCAAAAGAGCUCCGGGACCUUCUGUGCAACCCCCACCUGAGACAGUUACUGCGCGUCCAUCGACAGCGCAGAC